rnacentral:ncRNA from 1 species
AAGUCAGAAUCCGGGCCAGAAGCGACGCGUUGUCCGCCGCUCGUUUGCCGACCAGCAGUAGGGGCCCUCCGGCCCCCAAAGGCACGUGUCGUUGGCUAAGCCCUCGCGGCGGACGAGCCGCGCGGGCCGCCUUGAAUUACAAUUUCCACCGGGCGGCGGACUGAAUCCUUUGCAGACGACUUAAAUACGCGACGGGGUAUUGUAAGUGGCAGAGUGGCCUUGCUGCCACGAUCCACUGAGAUUCAGCCCUUAGUCGCUCCGAUUCGU